AUGUAGGGCAAUAUGUCUUUAAGUAGGGGUAAGUUACUCUAAAAGAAAUGAAUCUUAGAUAGUUUUCCCACCAGGCAUCCUAU
rnacentral:pre_miRNA from 1 species